UACGUAGGGUGCAAGCGUUGUCCGGAAUUAUUGGGCGUAAAGAGCUCGUAGGCGGUUUGUCGCGUCUGCUGUGAAAACUCGGGGCUUAACCCCGGGCCUGCAGUGGGUACGGGCAGACUAGAGUGCGGUAGGGGAGACUGGAAUUCCUGGUGUAGCGGUGAAAUGCGCAGAUAUCAGGAGGAACACCGAUUGCGAAGGCAGCUCGCUGGGACGUAACUGACGCUGAGACGCGAAAGCGUGGGGAGCAAACAGG
rnacentral:rRNA from 1 species